UACGUAGGAGGCAAGCGUUGUCCGGAGUUACUUGGCGUAAAGCGCACGCAGGCGGUCCUAUUAGUCUGGGGUGACAGUUCCCGGCUUAACCGGAAAAGGACUCUGGAAACUGUAGGACUUGAGGGCUUCAGAGGGAUGUGGAAUUCCAGGUGGAGUGGUGAAAUGCGUAGAGAUCUGGAAGAACACCAAAGGCGAAGGCAGCAUCCUGGGAAGUUCCUGACGCUCGGGUGCGAAAGCCAGGGGAGCGAACGGG
rnacentral:rRNA from 1 species